AAACCGCGUAGCUAGUAGGGUCGUUUUCUGUCUCUUAAUCAGUGGGUUCCGGGUUCGAGUCCCGGGGGGUGUAC
rnacentral:tRNA from 1 species